GAUGACGAUUGCCUACAAAACAUUUUGAAUUUUCACUCAUAUAAACGAAAUAAUUUAUUGCCCUCACUUAAAAAGCAAUUUGUGAAAAGGUAUUAAAUCUUCGGCACGCGGAAAAUAAAACAUUUCGAUAUACUCGCAUUUUUGGCCACCGGAAGUGGCAGCGAAAGAGAUUAAAAAGAUUGCCCAACAAAUUUUGGUAGAAACCCAAGACGCAUCUCUAGGAAAUAAAGUGUCAACGAGUUCAACGAUUUAUUAUUGUUUAUGCUCGCAUGCGGAAACCGUCUGCAAUUUAUAUCAAUUCAAAUACUAUAACAUAAUUGACAAUGAAGAAGAGUUAAGGAGGGGGUUCACAGAGAGAGAGAGAGAGAGAGAGAGAGAGAGCGUGGGUUGACUGACUGUCUGCAAAAAGCUAUGCGCAAGGUGCAAAUUCAAUAGAAAUCUAAUCUGUGCAGAAAAAGGGUUGCAAAAUGAUUUUAAUUGGCGUGACUUACACAGAAAAUAAUGAAGAGAGAACUCAUUAAGUUGAAAGUUCAUCAUAGUUGAAUGCGAAAUUUGAUAUUGAGUUUUAAAGAGUUUGCAGUUCUGUGGUAAUUAGGACUUGUUGAACCACCCUCGCUCUCUCCCCCCUACUCCCCUACUCGCUUUGUUGCCUGCUAUCAAUGGCUGCGAAAAGCAAAUGAAACCAAAGCCAUGACCAGAGGAAGCAUACACACAACGCACAAAUAGCUGGGGUUAGGAUGCAGAGCAGAGAAUAAACAAGUGAAGUGAUGUAGGGAACACAAGAGGGGAGAAGGAGAUGGAGACAACCCGAUAACGGACUGAACUAAGCCUGAUAUCAUUUAUCAUACUAAUGCCCGCACAAUUGAAUCCGCAGAGUGAAUAAGAGAACGAGAGAACGAAAACGAAAACGAGAGCUGCUCUUUCGAUGCUUCUUGACACGCAUCAACAAUUCAGUGCCUCGCAUGUAAAUGCGAAUGCGAAUGUGAAUAUAUAUGUAUAUAUAUAUGUACAUAUAUGUAUGUAUGUGAUGGCUGAGAACAAAACCUGUCAAAUGCUUUGCGCUUUGCCUGAUAUUUAAUAUAAAUUUAUAUUGACAAUGUUGUUGUUCUUUCCACAAAGCUGUUGCUGCAGAUGUGCCCCUCUAGCUUACCCCCUCCUCUAACUUUGCCAUUCUUUUGUCCAAAUUCCAAUUCCAAUUGAAACUAGUUUACGACGGACAAACGCUGAGCAAACAGAGAGAGAGAGAGAGAGAGAAUUGAAUAACUGACAGGCGAUUUGUUUAUGCAAAUAUAUAUUUUUGUGCAAUACCAUAGAGGGUGUGCGUGUUGUUUGUUGUGCUUGACUUUGGAAUGCUGCGCGAUAGCAGCAACGUCAUUAUCAAUGCCGAGAUGGUAAACAACAACAACAACGAAAACAACAACAAGAACGAUUGCUGUGCGCAAUUUUCGCAUGGAAAUUUCGUCAUGACGAAUUCGAGUCGCGCUGCCCGCUUUAAUCUCUUGAUUUUCCGCCAAUUAUUCAUCAUCAUCGAAAUGGCGACGACUCAUCAAACACACACACACACACACACACACAAUAUAAUUGGCAGUUUUUCCCUCAAUGGCUUUUCCAAUUAAAUGAUCCACUUGAUCGGCUGCUGUCGCUGUCGCUGUGUGUAGAUUGUGCGCCACAUACAGCUGCUCAGCUGAUAACGAACUGAAAACACAGCUGGCAUUGAAGUGCGUGAUAACAGCUACAAGCAAUAAUAUAUUAAAUGUGCACUGCACCAGAGUAAUUAACAAAAACCAAAAGGAAAAAUUCUAAAUGAUAAGCCAU